rnacentral:rRNA from 1 species
GUGAGUAAAGUGGCGUACGGGUGAGUAACACGUGGGUAAUCUACCUUCGGGUGUGGAAUAACGCUGGGAAACCGGCGCUAAUACCGCAUAAGCUUGAAAAAGGAAAGCAGCAAUGCGCCGGAAGAGGAGCCCGCGGCCGAUUAGCUAGUUGGUGAGGUAACGGCCCACCAAGGCUGAGAUCGGUAGCCGGCCUGAGAGGGCACACGGCCACACUGGCACUGAAACACGGGCCAG